GGGUUGUUUACUCGUGUGCCUACUGAACUGGAAUCAGUGUGUCUCUGCAGAACUGGCUCAGUCCAGCAGGAACAAGAGU
rnacentral:pre_miRNA from 1 species